rnacentral:rRNA from 1 species
UACGAAGGGGGCUAGCGUUGCUCGGAAUUACUGGGCGUAAAGCGCACGUAGGCGGCUUGUUAAGUCAGGGGUGAAAUCCUGGAGCUCAACUCCAGAACUGCCUUUGAUACUGGCGAGCUUGAGUUCGGGAGAGGUGAGUGGAACUGCGAGUGUAGAGGUGAAAUUCGUAGAUAUUCGCAAGAACACCAGUGGCGAAGGCGGCUCACUGGCCCGAUACUGACGCUGAGGCGCGAAAGCGUGGGGAGCAAACAGG